CAGAGCACUUUUCCAGGGAGCUCAGGAGGCUGAGACAGAAAAGCCUCAGCUUCCAGUGUCAACAGCCUUUUCCCCUCCUUCCAGCCAAAGACAGCAGCAUUCCCAAGCGCAAGAGAAAGCGGGUCUCGGAAGGAAAUUCCGUCUCCUCUUCCUCCUCGUCUUCCUCUUCCUCGUCCUCUAACCCGGAUUCAGUGGCAUCGGCCAACCAGAUCUCACUCGUGCAAUGGCCAAUGUACAUGGUGGACUAUGCCGGCCUGAACGUGCAGCUCCCGGGACCUCUUAAUUACUAGACCUCAGUACUGAAUCAGGACCUCACUCAGAAAGACUAAAGGAAAUGUAAUUUAUGUACAAAAUGUAUAUUCGGAUAUGUAUCGAUGCCUUUUAGUUUUUCCAAUGAUUUUUACACUAUAUUCCUGCCACCAAGGCCUUUUUAAAUAAGU
rnacentral:lncRNA from 10 species